AACGAACGCUGGCGGCAUGCCUAACACAUGCAAGUCGAACGAAGCCUUCGGGCUUAGUGGCGCACGGGUGCGUAACGCGUGGGAAUCUGCCCUUUGGUUCGGAAUAACAGUUGGAAACGACUGCUAAUACCGGAUGAUGAGGAAAGUCCAAAGAUUUAUCGCCAGAGGAUGAGCCCGCGUAGGAUUAGCUAGUUGGUGUGGUAAAGGCGCACCAAGGCGACGAUCCUUAGCUGGUCUGAGAGGAUGAUCAGCCACACUGGGACUGAGACACGGCCCAGACUCCUACGGGAGGCAGCAGUGGGGAAUAUUGGACAAUGGGCGAAAGCCUGAUCCAGCAAUGCCGCGUGAGUGAUGAAGGCCCUAGGGUUGUAAAGCUCUUUUACCCGGGAUGAUAAUGACAGUACCGGGAGAAUAAGCCCCGGCUAACUCCGUGCCAGCAGCCGCCGCAG
rnacentral:rRNA from 1 species